rnacentral:tRNA from 1 species
GGGCCUAUAGCUCAGUUGGUAGAGCCCCCGGCUCAUAACCGGUAGGUCGUAGGUUCGAAUCCUGCUGGGCCCACCA